UUGAUAGAGCUGUGUGGGAAUGUAUCGCAAAACUUUAGGUUUAUCAUAGGAAUGACAUAGUUGGUGUGUCUGAAUUUAAUGUUUCAGUUCCAUCCUAUGAAAAUUCUUUGUAUUAUUCACCUGAUUCACUACCGUAGUUUAAUGUUGCAGAGCUGAUGCUGCAGUGAUUAAUUUCACUCUUUAAAAACAACCUCAAAUGUAAUUCAAAGAGCUGCAUCCAAUAAGGAAGCAAAAGAUUGUUUCUAUUGAUGGUCAUUCAUUGUGAUAGAGUUCCCAGGGUUGAUAAGUAAGUGUAUAUGGUUGAGCUAUGUGUAUAUUUACUAUCGAUGCAUCCCAUGUUCUGCUAAGGCGGCUCCACUGCAAUUACCAAGAAAUUCAACUAGCCAGGAUUGAGGUUGAUCUUAAGCUUUCUAUGAAUCAAGACAGAGAGCUAGGUUGGAGGGUAUAAAGAAGUCCUUGCUGAAAAUGGAUCUUGAAAUGAGUUUGGUUUUCAAAGAUUAGCUGGAGUUGUUUCGUUAAAUCAUUUAAGGUUGGACUUGCAUUGAAGCAGGCAUUUUGCUUUAAUGAUAGGAGCCAUGGAUGGAGGAUCCUGAUUCCUGAAGAUGAUGGCAUAAGAUGAAUGUUGGGUAUUUAGUCUUAUAAAAGGUGACUCUUAAUGAGGUCUGAUGCUAUUGUCCUGGACAAUUGAGUGGACAUAAUGAAUUCAUUGAGAAUAUCAGUAAACAAACUGAAAAGGUAGAGUAGAUUUUUCCUAUUCAUAUAAGCACACGGCAGAAGUCAAGGGGUUAAAGGCAUUCGGUGGUCAUGAAAGGCAGAAUAACACAAUCCAAUAGUUAUGUGCCCGCUUUUACUCAUGGGAAA